rnacentral:rRNA from 1 species
AGAGCGAACGCUGGCGGCAGGCCUAACACAUGCAAGUCGAACGGACCCUUCGGGGGUUAGUGGCGGACGGGUGAGUAACACGUGGGAACGUGCCUUUUGGUUCGGAAUAGCUCCUGGAAACGGGUGGUAAUGCCGAAUGUGCCCUUCGGGGGAAAGAUUUAUCGCCAUUAGAGCGGCCCGCGUCUGAUUAGCUAGUUGGUGAGGUAAAGGCUCACCAAGGCUACGAUCAGUAGCUGGUCUGAGAGGAUGACCAGCCACAUUGGGACUGAGACACGGCCCAAACUCCUACGGGAGGCAGCAGUGGGGAAUCUUGCGCAAUGGGCGAAAGCCUGACGCAGCCGUGCCGCGUGAAUGAUGAAGGUCUUAGGAUUGUAAAAUUCUUUCACCGGGACGAUAAUGACGGUACCGGAGAAGAAGCCCGGCUAACUCGCGCCAGCAGCCGC